CUAAAAGUGGGCAUUCCCUCUGCAGUUGGAGUGGGAAUUCUGCUGUUUUUAUGUGUGAUUUACUGCUGGUGUAGAAACAGAAAACUUGAGUACAAGUAUAUGAAGUUGGUGGAGGGUUCUGGCCCGAACUACGAUGGGGAGUUGCCAGGUGUCGACUCAUGUGCCCUAGAGGAUGGGGAGGAUGAACAUUUUGAUACAGUGUCCUUCUCAGAAACCAAGAAAAAAGGACUAUUCAGUAAGCUCAGGGGGAAAAAAUACAAGUCGCAUGAUGACAACCCGUUUGAGACUUCUCACACAGAGAAACUCCCUCACACAUAAUAAAACACCCUGUGUUGCCUAAGUGACAGAAGGGAUGAAACGCAACAAAGCUUCCUUGACAGUUUACAGUGGACCAAUAGAAUCUCUGUCUGGCCUAUCGUUAGCCUUUGUUCUCUUUGAUUUGCUCACUACUGUUUUUCAAUUCAUGUAACCAUUGAUGAUUUUAAUCUAACAUAAAAUGUCAAUGAUUAAUUUCAUAGUAAAUAUAUCAAAUAUAUGCUGUUAAAGGAUGUCUUUCUGAAAUGGUUUUACAGGGUUUUGUAGGAAAAUAUUUCCAUAUGCUACACAAAUAUUUUUGUUUGAAAUAUACUGUAAAGUCACUAAUUUUC